GGGGCACUGGCGCAAUUGGCGAGCGCAGCGGCCUCCAAAGCCGAAGGUUCUAGGUUCGAGUCCUAGGUGCCCCG
rnacentral:tRNA from 1 species